CACGUAGGGUGCGAGCGUUGUCCGGAAUUAUUGGGCGUAAAGGGCUCGUAGGCGGUCUGUUGCGUCGGGAGUGAAAACUUACAGCUUAACUGUGAGCGUGCUUCCGAUACGGGCAGACUUGAGGUAUUCAGGGGAGAACGGAAUUCCUGGUGUAGCGGUGAAAUGCGCAGAUAUCAGGAGGAACACCGGUGGCGAAGGCGGUUCUCUGGGAAUAUCCUGACGCUGAGGAGCGAAAGUGUGGGGAGCGAACAGG
rnacentral:rRNA from 1 species